AGAGUUUGAUCAUGGCUCAGGACGAACGCUGGCGGCGUGCUUAACACAUGCAAGUCGAACGAUGAAGCCCAGCUUGCUGGGUGGAUUAGUGGCGAACGGGUGAGUAACACGUGAGCAACGUGCCCAUAACUCUGGGAUAACCUCCGGAAACGGUGGCUAAUACUGGAUAUCUAACACGAUCGCAUGGUCUGUGUUUGGAAAGAUUUUUUGGUUAUGGAUCGGCUCACGGCCUAUCAGCUUGUUGGUGAGGUAAUGGCUCACCAAGGCGACGACGGGUAGCCGGCCUGAGAGGGUGACCGGCCACACUGGGACUGAGACACGGCCCAGACUCCUACGGGAGGCAGCAGUGGGGAAUAUUGCACAAUGGGCGAAAGCCUGAUGCAGCAACGCCGCGUGAGGGAUGACGGCCUUCGGGUUGUAAACCUCUUUUAGUAGGGAAGAAGCGAAAGUGACGGUACCUGCAGAAAAAGCACCGGCUAACUACGUGCCAGCAGCCGCGGUAAUAC
rnacentral:rRNA from 1 species